UCAUAAAGUAUGUCGUAGUCCGGAUUGGAGUCUGCAACUCGACUCCAUGAAGUCGGAAUCGCUAGUAAUCGUAGAUCAGAAUGCUACGGUGAAUACGUUCCCGGGCCUUGUACACACCGCCCGUCACACCAUGGGAGUGGGUUGCAAAAGAAGUAGGUAGCUUAACCUUCGGGAGGGCGCUUACCACUUUGUGAUUCAUGACUGGGGUGAAGUCGUAACAAGGUAACCGUAGGGGAACCUGCGGUUGGAUCACCUCCUUACCUUAAAGAA
rnacentral:rRNA from 1 species